rnacentral:lncRNA from 1 species
GCAAGGAUGGGGGAGUGCUCAGAGGACAGGCAAGAGGGUGGGAUAGAGUAGAAAGGACUCAGUCUGAAGAAGGAAAUGCAUUAAAGAAAGAUUAGUAGAUAAAUGUGGGUGAAGGCUACGGAGAGGCAGGGUAGACAGGAGGUGAAGGCCAAAGGGCACUAAAGGGCAAGAGAUGGUACGGCUGUGAGGGGAAGUGGGGGUGCUGAGAAGGCCCACCUUGGCCUUGAUGAUCUGCUCCAUGUUGGAGGUGACGUCAUCCAGCUCCAGUUUGAACUCGCUCUUCUCUUUCUCCAGCUUCUGCUUCACCCGCUGUAGAUUGUCUAUCUGCUCGCCCAGCUCGGCCACGCUGUCUGCGUGCUUCUUGCGCAGGGCCGCGGCUGUGGCCUCAUGCUGCAGCGUGGCCUCCUCCAGGUCCCGCCGCAUCUUCUGGAACUCGGCCUCGCGCUUCUUGUUCAUCUCUAUCUGCACAGAUGUGGCCCC